CGUAGGGCGCAAGCGUUGUCCGGAAUUAUUGGGCGUAAAGAGCUCGUAGGCGGUCUGUUACGUCUGCUGUGAAAACCCGGGGCUUAACCCUGGGCUUGCAGUGGAUACGGGCAGACUAGAGGCAGGUAGGGGAGAAUGGAAUUCCCGGUGUAGCGGUGAAAUGCGCAGAUAUCGGGAGGAACACCGGUGGCGAAGGCGGUUCUCUGGGCCUGACCUGACGCUGAGGAGCGAAAGCGUGGGGAGCGAACAGG
rnacentral:rRNA from 1 species